CCCAGACUCCUACGGGAGGCAGCAGUGAGGAAUAUUGGUCAAUGGCCGGAAGGCUGAACCAGCCAAGCCGCGUGAAGGACGAAGGUGCCAAGCAUUGUAAACUUCUUUUGUCAAGGGACAAAAUCAGGCUCGAGAGCCUGACCGAGGGUACUUGAAGAAAAAGCAUCGGCUAACUCCGUGCCAGCAGCCGCGGUAAUACGGAGGAUGCGAGCGUUAUCCGGAUUUAUUGGGUUUAAAGGGUGCGCAGGCGGAAGAUCAAGUCGGCGGUAAAAUGGAGAGGCUCAACCUCUUCGAGCCGUUGAAACUGGUUUUCUUGAGUGAGCGAGAAGUAUGCGGAAUGCGUGGUGUAGCGGUGAAAUGCAUAGAUAUCACGCAGAACUCCGAUUGCGAAGGCAGCAUGCCGGCUUCCGACUGACGCUGAAGCACGAAAGCGUGGGGAUCGAACAGGAUUAGAUACCCUUGUAC
rnacentral:rRNA from 1 species